GAGGGUAUAGCUCAAGUGGUAGAGCACAUGCUCAGUAUGCAUGAGGUCCCAGAUUCAAUUCCCAGUACCUCCA
rfam:Camelus ferus unplaced genomic scaffold scaffold185, whole genome shotgun sequence.